rnacentral:rRNA from 1 species
CACGUAGGCGGAUAUUUAAGUCAGAGGUGAAAGCCCGGGGCUCAACCCCGGAACUGCCUUUGAAGCUAGAUGGCUUGAAUCUUGGAGAGGCGAGUGGAAUUCCGAGUGUAGAGGUGAAAUUCGUAGAUAUUCGGAAGAACACCAGUGGCGAAGGCGACUCGCUGGACAAGUAUUGACGCUGAGGUGCGAAAGCGUGGGGAGCAAACA